rnacentral:rRNA from 1 species
AUUGAACGCUGGCGGCAGGCCUAACACAUGCAAGUCGAGCGGAUGAAGGGAGCUUGCUCCUGGAUUCAGCGGCGGACGGGUGAGUAAUGCCUAGGAAUCUGCCUGGUAGUGGGGGAUAACGUCCGGAAACGGGCGCUAAUACCGCAUACGUCCUGAGGGAGAAAGUGGGGGAUCUUCGGACCUCACGCUAUCAGAUGAGCCUAGGUCGGAUUAGCUAGUUGGUGGGGUAAAGGCCUACCAAGGCGACGAUCCGUAACUGGUCUGAGAGGAUGAUCAGUCACACUGGAACUGAGACACGGUCCAGACUCCUGCGGGAGGAAGCAGUGGGGAAUAUUGGACAAUGGGCGAAAGCCUGAUCCAGCCAUGCCGCGUGUGUGAAGAAGGUCUUCGGAUUGUAAAGCACUUUAAGUUGGGAGGAAGGGCAGUAAGUUAAUACCUUGCUGUUUUGACGUUACCAACAGAAUAAGCACCGGCUAACUUCGUG